rnacentral:RNase_P_RNA from 1 species
GACGAUCGCGGGUACCUUAUGCCGAAAGGCGGUAUCCCGAGGAAAGUCCGGGCUCCACAGGACAGGGUGCCGGGUAACGCCCGGUGAAGGCAACUUUAAGGAAAGUGCAACAGAAAAGAAAACCGCCCUUGUGUCCUUCGGGACAUAAGGGUAAGGAUGAAAAGGCGAGGUAAGAGCUCACCGGCGGUAUGGAGACAUACCGGCCUUGUAAACCCCACCCGGAGCAACGUCGUGGAAAGGCUUUAACCGUGGUCCGCGGGCCUUGAGGAGACGGCUUGAGUGCGGUGGCAACACCGUUACCAGACAGAUGAUCGUCAUAAACAGAACCCGGCUUAUCGUCCUGCCCG